rnacentral:rRNA from 1 species
UCUUUGCUGACGAGUGGCGGACGGGUGAGUAAUGUCUGGGAAACUGCCUGAUGGAGGGGGAUAACUACUGGAAACGGUAGCUAAUACCGCAUAACGUCGCAAGACCAAAAAGGGGGACCUUCGGGCCUCUUGCCAUCGGAUGUGCCCAGAUGGGAUUAGCUAGUAGGUGGGGUAACGGCUCACCUAGGCGACGAUCCCUAGCUGGUCUGAGAGGAUGACCAGCCACACUGGAACUGAGACACGGUCCAGACUCCUACGGGAGGCAGCAGUGGGGAAUAUUGCACAAUGGGCGCAAGCCUGAUGCAGCCAUGCCGCGUGUAUGAAGAAGGCCUUCGGGUUGUAAAGUACUUUCAGCGGGGAGGAAGGGAGUAAAGUUAAUACCUUUGCUCAUUGACGUUACCCGCAGAAGAAGCACCGGCUAACUCCGUGCCAGCAGCCGCGGUAAUACGGAGGGUGCAAGCGUUAAUCGGAAUUACUGGGCGUAAAGCGCACGCAGGCGGUUUGUUAAGUCAGAUGUGAAAUCCCCGGGCUCAACCUGGGAACUGCAUCUGAUACUGGCAAGCUUGAGUCUCGUAGAGGGGGGUAGAAUUCCAGGUGUAGCGGUGAAAUGCGUAGAGAUCUGGAGGAAUACCGGUGGCGAAG